UGGGGUGCUUCGUGGGGCCAGGGUGGAGGGUGGGGAGACCUGAGCUGGGUUUUGAUGCUGAGACAAGUACUGUGCAGGACAAAAUGUCUCCUCUGCCUUUGGGACAGGGACAAGGCUGCUCAUGAAGCCAAACAUCCAGAACCCAAAGCCAGCUGUGUACCAGCUGAAAGACACUAAGAACAAGAAUAGUAGCGUCUGCCUGUUCACCGACUUCAGUUCUCAAGUCAAUGUGUCAAAGAAAGUGACACCCGACGUGUUCGUCUCCGACAAAACUGUGCUGGAAAUGAGGUCUAUGGAUUCCAAGAGCAAUGCGGUCAUUGCCUGGAGCAGCCAAAGUAGUUUCAACUGCAAAGACACUUUCCAAGAGAACACCUCCUACUCCCUCUCAGACGUUCCCUGCAAUGCCAAGUUGAUAGAGAAAAGCUUUGAAACAGAUAUGAACCUAAACUUUCAAAACCUGUCAGUGAUGGGACUCCGGAUCCUCCUCCUGAAAGUGGCCGGAUUUAACCUGCUCAUGACGCUUCGACUGUGGUCCAGCUGAGGUUGGCAAGACUGAAAGAGGCUGAACUCCCAAGCUCCUUCCUCUUCAUCACCCCUCCUCUCCCUCUUCAAGCAAAAAGGAGCCCUCCCACCUCAUAAAAAUCCCGCCAACUGGAUCUCCUGAAUUUGUGAUGGAGAUUGCUGAAGAGCUGCUAAGUGCCACUGCACCCAGUCCACUCCCUUACUGCUGCUGGCCAUUCACAGGAAGACAGGGG